rnacentral:rRNA from 1 species
AACGCGAAGAACCUUACCUGGGCUCGAAAUGUAGAGGACGAUAUCAGAGAUGAUAUUUCUCGAAAGAGUCUCUAUAUAGGUGCUGCAUGGCUGUCGUCAGCUCGUGCCGUGAGGUGUUUGGUUAAGUCCAGCAACGAGCGCAACCCUUAUCGUUAGUUGCCAGCGCGUAAUGGCGGGAACUCUAACGAGACUGCCUGGGUUAACCAGGAGGAAGGUGAGGAUGACGUCAAGUCCGCAUGGCCUUUAUGUCCAGGGCUACACACGUGCUACAAUGGUCGGUACAGAAGGCAGCAAGACCGCAAGGUGGAGCAAAUCCCCAAAACCGAUCUCAGUUCAGAUUGUAGACUGCAACUCGUCUACAUGAAGUUGGAAUUGCUAGUAAUGGCGUGUCAGCAACAACGCCGUGAAUACGUUCCCGGGCCUUGUA